rnacentral:rRNA from 2 species
UUAAGCGACUAAGCGUACACGGUGGAUGCCCUGGCAGUCAGAGGCGAUGAAGGACGUGCUAAUCUGCGAAAAGCGUCGGUAAGGUGAUAUGAACCGUUAUAACCGGCGAUGUCCGAAUGGGGAAACCCAGUGCAAUUCGUUGCACUAUCGUUAACUGAAUACAUAGGUUAACGAGGCGAACCGGGGGAACUGAAACAUCUAAGUACCCCGAGGAAAAGAAAUCAACCGAGAUUCCCCCAGUAGCGGCGAGCGAACGGGGAGCAGCCCAGAGUCUGAAUCAGCUUGUGUGUUAGUGGAACGGUCUGGAAAGUCCGACGGUACAGGGUGAUAGUCCCGUACACCAAAAUGCACAGGUUGUGAACUCGAAGAGUAGGGCGGGACACGUGGUAUCCUGUCUGAAUAUGGGGGGACCAUCCUCCAAGGCUAAAUACUCCUGACUGACCGAUAGUGAACCAGUACCGUGAGGGAAAGGCGAAAAGAACCCCGGCGAGGGGAGUGAAAAAGAACCUGAAACCGUGUACGUACAAGCAGUGGGAGCACCUUCGGGUGUGACUGCGUACCUUUUGUAUAAUGGGUCAGCGACUUAUAUUCUGUAGCAAGGUUAACCGUAUAGGGGAGCCGCAGGGAAACCGAGUCUUAACUGGGCGUUAAGUUGCAGGGUAUAGACCCGAAACCCGGUGAUCUAGCCAUGGGCAGGUUGAAGGUUGGGUAACACUAACUGGAGGACCGAACCGACUAAUGUUGAAAAAUUAGCGGAUGACUUGUGGCUGGGGGUGAAAGGCCAAUCAAACCGGGAGAUAGCUGGUUCUCCCCGAAAGCUAUUUAGGUAGCGCCUCGUGAACUCAUCUUCGGGGGUAGAGCACUGUUUCGGCUAGGGGGUCAUCCCGACUUACCAACCCGAUGCAAACUACGAAUACCGAAGAAUGUUAUCACGGGAGACACACGGCGGGUGCUAACGUCCGUCGUGAAGAGGGAAACAACCCAGACCGCCAGCUAAGGUCCCAAAGUCAUGGUUAAGUGGGAAACGAUGUGGGAAGGCACAGACAGCCAGGAUGUUGGCUUAGAAGCAGCCAUCAUUUAAAGAAAGCGUAAUAGCUCACUGGUCGAGUCGGCCUGCGCGGAAGAUGUAACGGGGCUAAACCAUGCACCGAAGCUGCGGCAGCGACACUAUGUGUUGUUGGGUAGGGGAGCGUUCUGUAAGCCUGCGAAGGUGUGCUGUGAGGCAUGCUGGAGGUAUCAGAAGUGCGAAUGCUGACAUAAGUAACGAUAAAGCGGGUGAAAAGCCCGCUCGCCGGAAGACCAAGGGUUCCUGUCCAACGUUAAUCGGGGCAGGGUGAGUCGACCCCUAAGGCGAGGCCGAAAGGCGUAGUCGAUGGGAAACAGGUUAAUAUUCCUGUACUUGGUGUUACUGCGAAGGGGGGACGGAGAAGGCUAUGUUAGCCGGGCGACGGUUGUCCCGGUUUAAGCAUGUAGGCUGGUUGUCCAGGCAAAUCCGGAUAAUCAAGGCUGAGGUGUGAUGACGAGGCACUACGGUGCUGAAGUAACAAAUGCCCUGCUUCCAGGAAAAGCCUCUAAGCAUCAGGUAACAUCAAAUCGUACCCCAAACCGACACAGGUGGUCAGGUAGAGAAUACCAAGGCGCUUGAGAGAACUCGGGUGAAGGAACUAGGCAAAAUGGUGCCGUAACUUCGGGAGAAGGCACGCUGGUGUGUAGGUGAAGUCCCUGCGGAUGGAGCUGAGACCAGUCGAAGAUACCAGCUGGCUGCAACUGUUUAUUAAAAACACAGCACUGUGCAAACACGAAAGUGGACGUAUACGGUGUGACGCCUGCCCGGUGCCGGAAGGUUAAUUGAUGGGGUUAUCCGUAAGGAGAAGCUCUUGAUCGAAGCCCCGGUAAACGGCGGCCGUAACUAUAACGGUCCUAAGGUAGCGAAAUUCCUUGUCGGGUAAGUUCCGACCUGCACGAAUGGCGUAAUGAUGGCCAGGCUGUCUCCACCCGAGACUCAGUGAAAUUGAACUCGCUGUGAAGAUGCAGUGUACCCGCGGCAAGACGGAAAGACCCCGUGAACCUUUACUAUAGCUUGACACUGAACAUUGAGCCUUGAUGUGUAGGAUAGGUGGGAGGCUUUGAAGCGUGGACGCCAGUCUGCGUGGAGCCAACCUUGAAAUACCACCCUUUAAUGUUUGAUGUUCUAACGUUGGCCCCUUACCGGGGUUGCGGACAGUGUCUGGUGGGUAGUUUGACUGGGGCGGUCUCCUCCCAAAGCGUAACGGAGGAGCACGAAGGUUAGCUAAUCCUGGUCGGACAUCAGGAGGUUAGUGCAAUGGCAUAAGCUAGCUUGACUGCGAGCGUGACGGCGCGAGCAGGUGCGAAAGCAGGUCAUAGUGAUCCGGUGGUUCUGAAUGGAAGGGCCAUCGCUCAACGGAUAAAAGGUACUCCGGGGAUAACAGGCUGAUACCGCCCAAGAGUUCAUAUCGACGGCGGUGUUUGGCACCUCGAUGUCGGCUCAUCACAUCCUGGGGCUGAAGUAGGUCCCAAGGGUAUGGCUGUUCGCCAUUUAAAGUGGUACGCGAGCUGGGUUUAGAACGUCGUGAGACAGUUCGGUCCCUAUCUGCCGUGGGCGCUGGAGAAUUGAGGGGGGCUGCUCCUAGUACGAGAGGACCGGAGUGGACGCAUCACUGGUGUUCGGGUUGUCAUGCCAAUGGCACUGCCCGGUAGCUAAAUGCGGAAGAGAUAAGUGCUGAAAGCAUCUAAGCACGAAACUUGCCCCGAGAUGAGUUCUCCCUGAGACUUUAAGUCUCCUGAAGGAACGUUAAAGACGAUGACGUUGAUAGGCCGGGUGUGUAAGCGCAGCGAUGCGUUGAGCUAACCGGUACUAAUGAACCGUGAGGCUUAACCUU